CCCUUAGAUGUUCUGGGCCGCCCGCGCGCUACACUGACGAAGUCAGCGAGCAUGUCCUACGCCGACAGGUGCGGGGAAUCUUGUCAAACUUCGUCGUGAUGGGGAUUGAUUUUUGAAAUUCUUGAUCAUAAACGAGGAAUUCCUAGUAAGCGCAAGUCAGCAGCUUGCGUUGAUUACGUCCCUGCCCUUUGUACACACCGCCCGUCGCUACUACCGAUUGAAUGGUUUAGUGAGAUCUUCGGAUUGGCGCCACUGCAGCUCAGCAAUGGGCUUGGUGGAUGCCGAAAAGUUGAUCAAACUUGAUCAUUUAGAGGAAGUAAAAGUCGUAACA
rnacentral:rRNA from 1 species